rnacentral:rRNA from 1 species
GACGAAGGGGGCUAGCGUUGUUCGGAAUUACUGGGCGUAAAGGGCGCGUAGGCGGUCUGUUAAGUUAGGCGUGAAAGCCCUGGGCUCAACCUGGGAGGUGCGCUUGAUACUGGCAGGCUAGAGUGCAGGAGAGGAUGGUGGAAUUCCCAGUGUAGAGGUGAAAUUCGUAGAUAUUGGGAAGAACACCGGUGGCGAAGGCGGCCAUCUGGACUGCAUCUGACGCUGAGGCGCGUAAGCGUGGGGUGCAAUCAGG